GAUGAACGCUGGCGGCGUGCCUAGUACAUGCAAGUCGAGCGAACAGACGAGGAGCUUGCUCCUCUGACGUUAGCGGCGGACGGGUGAGUAACACGUGGAUAACCUACCUAUAAGACUGGGAUAACUUCGGGAAACCGGAGCUAAUACCGGAUAAUAUAUUGAACCGCAUGGUUCAAUAGUGAAAGACGGUUUUGCUGUCACUUAUAGAUGGAUCCGCGCCGCAUUAGCUGGUUGGUAAGGUAACGGCUUACCAAGGCAACGAUGCGUAGCCGACCUGAGAGGGUGAUCGGCCACACUGGAACUGAGACACGGUCCAGACUCCUACGGGAGGCAGCAGUAGGGAAUCUUCCGCAAUGGGCGAAAGCCUGACGGAGCAACGCCGCGUGAGUGAUGAAGGUCUUCGGAUCGUAAAACUCUGUUAUUAGGGAAGAACAAAUGUGUAAGUAACUAUGCACGUCUUGACGGUACCUAAUCAGAAAGCCACGGCUAACUACGU
rnacentral:rRNA from 1 species